rnacentral:rRNA from 1 species
AGAGUUUGAUCCUGGCUCAGAUUGAACGCUGGCGGCAGGCUUAACACAUGCAAGUCGAGCGGUAACAGAAAGUAGCUUGCUAUUUUGCUGACGAGCGGCGGACGGGUGAGUAAUGCCUAGGAAUCUGCCUAGUAGUGGGGGAUAACUUGCCGAAAGGUAAGCUAAUACCGCAUACGUCCUACGGGAGAAAGGAGGGGACUCUUCGGAGCCUUUCGCUAUUAGAUGAGCCUUGGUCGGAUUAGUUAGUUGGUGAGGUAAUGGCUCACCAAGACCGCGAUCCGUAACUGGUCUGAGAGGAUGAUCAGUCACACUGGAACUGAGACACGGUCCAGACUCCUACGGGAGGCAGCAGUGGGGAAUAUUGGACAAUGGGGGAAACCCUGAUCCAGCCAUGCCGCGUGUGUGAAGAAGGUCUUAGGAUGU